UUUUUUUUAUCAUCAGAAUUUUCCGUUCCGCUGAAAAUUUUACAAUUUUAAACAAAUGGCUUAAAUAUUACGUAUUUUAUUACGUUAGAUAACAUUAUCGAAAUUGCUAUUUUGAUUAGUGUCAAUUUUGCGCAAAAUGUUAAUGGUCUAAUGUAGAAGUACUACAAGGAAUAAAAUACAUAAGUUUUUCAGUGUUAUUUCCACAUAAAAUUUUAGUACAGUGAACGGUUCAAUGCGUUGUAUCAGCUGUUACGAUACGUCCACAGCUGUGGUGUCGUGAGCCAGUGGAAACGUGCUCUACAAUUAAGUCGACCGCCAACGUCAAGUGAGCGGAAACAUCGCGCGAGAUCGUAGCCGCUUAUUGUUUUUCAGUUAUUUGGACGCGCUCGGGGCGUGUUGCCGUCGCGUGUUCCGCCGCAAUGAACUCCGCGCAAACGCCGCCGUAGAUACAUCGCUGUGAUAGUUUCCGUAGCAGUUCUGUAUACAAACAGCAGUGUCAGUGCAGUGCUCCGCCAUGGCUCGGCUCACUGAAGAGAUGGUGAUCGCGCGCUCCAAGCAGUCGGACCUCAGCGCGAUCAAGAAGCUCAACUGCUGGGGUGCAGAGCUGGGAGACGUGAGCCUGCUGCGGAGGAUGCCCAACGUUGAAGUACUCGCACUCAGUAUAAACAAGAUCCGCACGCUGGGCGACUUCGCGGGCUGCCGGCGACUGCGCGAGCUGUACGUGCGCAAGAACGAGAUCAGCGACCUGCACGAGAUCCGGCACCUGCGCCACCUGCCCGACCUCACCAGCCUGUGGCUCGACGAGAACCCCUGCACCUCGCAUCCACAGUACAGGAUGACAGUACUACGGAAUCUGCCCAACCUGGAGAAGCUGGACAACGUGCCCGUGCAGCCCGACGAGGUGCAGGAGGCGAUGCGGCGCGGCAUACACAUACCCGACUCUGACGAUGAAGGAUACCCACAGCAGCAGGAGAGCUACGGCGGGUACCGGCAGCGCUCGUGCGAGUCCAGCCCCGAGCGCUCGCCCGACCAGUUCGCGCACUACUCGCGCCGUCCGCGGCAUGAGGGCAGCGACAGCUCGGACGCGGGCGGCGACGCGCCGCCGGACUGCGCGCGACCAGACGCACAGUGCCCGCGCUCGCCCCCGCGGCGCGCGCCCCCCGCCGCGUCGCCCGACGCCGACGAGCGCUACGACCACCCCGCCAUGACGCGCUCGCACAUCGAGGCGCGCUCGCCGGACGCCGGCUCGCUGCGGCACUCGCUGUCCGCGCAGAGUGUCAAGGAGUACUCGUACUCGUCUAACGGCGAGUGUCGGUACCCGGCCGCCAGCGGCGUCGCGUCGCCGCCCUGUCCGGAGCCCUACUACGAGCGACCCGACAGAUGGGCUUGCAGGUCGGAGUCGCUGGGGCAGCCGGGCGGCCCGCGGGGCGAGUGGGAGUACCCGUCGGCCGUGAUGGCGGAGCACCGCGGCUUCACGCGCCGCCCCGUCGCGCGCAACUCCAACCUGCUCUCCGCCGUGCUCUGCCUCGUCAAGGAGCUCGACUACCCCAGCCUCGAGGUCGCUGAGAUGGCCGUCAGAUGUCGCAUGGACGAGUUGGCCAACAGCCAGUGACGCAGCGCCGCGCGCGGUGACGUCACCACUCUCUAGUCAGCGUGCGCCACGGUCACACGUGCGCCACGGUCGCACGUGCGCCACGCCACGGCCGCGCCACGCGUGCAGUGCGACACGCGAAUGAACUGUUGUACAUAGUGAGGCCGCCCGCGCCGACACAUACUCGACAAUAUACGCGUACCUACGUUACUAGCCUCGGUUACAUGAUCAACUUGCUGGAACUUUAAGAUUUCAGUCUGUCUCGACUUCCCUCGGUUCUAUAGUCAAACUAGGAACCGAUGUAGCUUAAGUGUCUUUUAUUUUCUAAUCAAAUUAAUUGUAACGGAAGACGAAAAUGAAUUUGAACAGAAUCCCAAUCGUGAGCAAACGUAAAUGUACUGAAUUACAUAGUAGCGAUGAACAAAGCGACUUGCCGUUUGAGCACCUAUUUUAUGAGCACCCAUACUUCGAAUACUUAAGACUUAGCGCAAAUAAGCUCUCAAAAUAUGUGCUCAAACAUUAUUUUUACGAAAGUGUGUAAUGUUCCUGCCUACCCCACGGUAGUGUGAGUGUUUGUGUGUACAUGUGUAUGUGUGCGCGGGCGGCAGUGAGGAGCAAAUUAAUAAGUAAUGUACUCGUAAUUAAUAGUAUUGUAAUAAAUUAACUUGCCGUAACAA
rnacentral:misc_RNA from 1 species